rnacentral:SRP_RNA from 1 species
AGAUCGGCGAUGGGCGGAGGCCUCGCCAACCCGGUCAGGUCCGGAAGGAAGCAGCCGUAACGAGAUUUGCUCCGGGUCGUCUGCCGGUCUCCA